GGAGCCAUAGUUCAGUGAUACGGCAUCUGCUUUGCAUGCAUAAAGUCCCAAGUUCAAUCCCUGGCAUAUCCU
rnacentral:tRNA from 1 species